CAGCCCGGCCCUCAUGCCGUCUCAGUGAGCUCUGCGACCUGGGGCCCCCACUUGGCGGUGGGCCCAGGCUGGGGGGUCUCCAGCUAGGAUGUAGGGCGGUGGUGGGCCCAGGCUGGGGGGUCUCCAGCUAGGAUGUGGGUGGUGGUGGGCCCAGGCUGUGUGGGGGGAGUCUCCAGCUAAGAUAUAGGGUGGUGGUGGGCCCUGGCCUGGGUGGGGGUUCUCCAGCUAGGAUGUGGGUGGUAGUAGGCCCAGGCCUCGGGGGCUUCAGCUAGGAUGUGGGUGGUGGUAGGCCCAGGCCUGGGGAUCUCCAGCUAGGAUGUAGGGUAGUGGUGGGCCCAGGCCUCGGGGGCUUCAGCUAGGAUGUAGGGCAGUGGUGGGCCUAGGCCUGGGGGUCUCUAGCUAGGAUGUGGGGUGGUGGUAGACCGAGGCCUUGGAGGUGCUCCAGGCAGGGCCACAGCUGAUUUGUCUGGGAAGGGAGGGGGCUUGUUUGGAGGGCUGGAGUAGACAGCAGCCAGGAGGAACUUCCUUUGGUAGUGGGAGGCCCCUCCAAAAGCACGCCUGCGAAGGCCCUAGGGCACCAGGGGACAUGGGAGCAUUCUUUGCUGUGCUCAGAGAGGGGGACAUGGGAGAACUGGGGCCAGGUGGGCUUAAUUUUCUGGAUCCUGUGGCCCCUUGGGUUGGAUCGGGCUGGGGUCUCAGGCAGAGCUGUUUCUGCACUGAGGCAGGGACUGCAGGCCAGUGACGGAGUGAUCUUGUGUGACUCCAUGCUCUCAGAGUCUUGCUGGAAACCCCCCUGGCUCUCAGACCCUCUUCUGUGAACCAGAAGUCUCUAUCCUGCCUUCUGCUGAGGGUCACAGGAUAAGUAUCCAUAGGUGUAACUCACACACCAGCACUUUGCAAGGUGUCCCCCCACCCACACAGAAGAGUUCCUCUGUGCCCGCAGGCAGGAGCAGCCCCCCACAUACACACACAGUACAUUCAUUCAUUCACUCACACAGUACUUUCAUUCAUCCACCCAUUCAAAUAGUACAUUCAUUCAUUCACUCACUCACACAGUACAUUCAUUCAUCCAUUCACACAGUACAUUCAUGCAAUCAUCCACACAGUACAUUGAUUCACACAGUACAUUCAUUCACUAAUUCACUCACACAGUACAUUCAUUCAAGCAUCCAUUCACACAGUACAUUCAAUCAUCCAUUCACACAGUACAUUCAUGCAGUCAUCCACACAGUACAUUCAUUCACUAAUUCACUCACACAGUACAUUCAUUCAAUCAUCCAUUCACACAGUACAUUCAUGCAAUCAUCCACACAGUACAUUGAUUCACACAGUACAUUCAUGCACUAAUUCACUCACACAGUACAUUCAUUCAAUCAUCCAUUCAUACAGUACAUUCAUGCAAUCAUCCACAGUUCAUUCAUUCAUUCACACAGUUCAUUCACACACUUCAUUCAUUCAUUCACACACUUCAUUCAUUCAUUCACACCAUUCAUUCAUUCAUUAACCACAAGGUGAGUAUUCCUUGCAUCUCAGAGAUGGGGACAAAGGAGUGACCCCACUAGGCCCAAGGUUGCAGGGGGCUGGGGUGGAGUGGAUACAUUUUGUAGAUUGGAUUCUCUUAUUCAGUAAAGUGUUUAGUGAAUUGGUUGACAGCAAUGCCAGGGUCCUCUGAGGACAGGGCCUUCCUGGAGGUCACUUGAGCCACUUGCCCCAAGGUGGUUUUCAGGAGAGUGUGGCUCAAGGCUGUGGCUGGAGCCAGUGGCUGCUGCCUGUCUGCAGCUGGGCAGAGCAGCCCCUGUGUCCACAUCCAGCUCCACCUGGCUGCCCUGCCACGGCCCCAGCAGGCACCCCCUUGUCUUUGACACCCCCUUAGUGCCUGCUGUGGUUGGGUAAGUGUAGACCACAGUGUGAGUAAUCAGCGCCCACACUCCCAGGGUGUUGGCAAUGUUUAAAAGUUGUCUUAACCAAAAUGUGUUGCUAAGGUUGGACUUUUGGACAACCGCAGGUGCUGUGAAGCUCCUUUCCCAGUCAGGCAUCGGGGGUGGAGUCUGUGCUGCUUAAAUUGGAUCUGAGCAGGCGGGUGUGGGGUUUCCAUGGGUUUGUUUGUGAGCCGCGUGGAGCAGACGGCAUACAGGAAUGCCUGGCGAGCCUCCCCUAACUGCCACCCUGCUCUGUU
rnacentral:lncRNA from 1 species